GCAACCAGUCACCAUGACAUGAGGACACUCAAGCAGUUCUAUGGAGGGACCUAGGCACAAAGAACUGAGGCUUCCUGAUAACAGCCAUAUUGGGCAGGGCACAACUUCUGGAGCUGCCCUGCAUGGCUGUGCAGAGGUCCCUGAAAGGUCACCUGCUGUGUGUCUUCCAGCGUCCCUGUAAGAGAGUAGACAGAGAAGUCAUGCAUCACCUUGCACUGUCCCCUUUCCUUCCCUGACUCGCUCCUCUUCAUGCUUUCUCCAGCCUGGGAUUUUAUUUCUCAAAUAAAGACAAACCUUAAUCUUAA